UACGGAGGGUGCGAGCGUUGUCCGGAUUUACUGGGCGUAAAGCGCGUGUAGGCGGCCACGCAGGUCCGUUGUGAAAACUAGAGGCUCAACCUCUAGACGUCGACGGAAACCGUGUGGCUAGAGUCCGGAAGAGGAGAGUGGAAUUCCUGGUGUAGCGGUGAAAUGCGCAGAUAUCAGGAAGAACACCAAUGGCGAAGGCAGCUCUCUGGGACGGUACUGACGCUGAGACGCGAAAGCGUGGGGAGCGAACAGG
rnacentral:rRNA from 1 species